rnacentral:misc_RNA from 1 species
ACCGAGUUGAAGCGCCUGCGUGGUGUCCACACAGAUUGUCUGAUGAUAAGAAAGAGUCAAAAGCGUCUUGCGAAGCUGACAAGUGAUGUCCCCUUCGUCUAGAGGCCCAGGACACCGCCCUUUCACGGCGGUAACAGGGGUUCGAAUCCCCUAGGGGACGCCAGUAUGACUGACAGUGGGUGAAAGGCACGGUCAACGCUAACCUAAAACUGAUUAGUGAUAGUCAGGUUUAUGUUAUCUGCUCUUUAACAAUCCGGAACAAGCUGAAUAAUUUGAAACGACGGCAUAUGAGUGUGAAUUCGUAUGUUGUUCGAGUCUC